AACGAACGCUGGCGGCGUGGAUAAGACAUGCAAGUCGAACGAGAGAAUUGCUAGCUUGCUAAUAAUUCUCUAGUGGCGCACGGGUGAGUAACACGUGAGUAACCUGCCCCCAAGAGUGGGAUAGCCCCGGGAAACUGGGAUUAAUACCGCAUAAAAUCGCAAGAUUAAAGCAGCAAUGCGCUUGGGGAUGGGCUCGCGUCCUAUUAGUUAGUUGGUGAGGUAACGGCUCACCAAGGCGAUGACGGGUAGCCGGUCUGAGAGGAUGUCCGGCCACACUGGAACUGAGACACGGUCCAGACACCUACGGGUGGCAGCAGUCGAGAAUCAUUCACAAUGGGGGAAACCCUGAUGGUGCGACGCCGCGUGGGGGAAUGAAGGUCUUCGGAUUGUAAACCCCUGUCAUGUGGGAGCAAAUUAAAAAGAUAGUACCACAAGAG
rnacentral:rRNA from 1 species